GUCUCUCUCAAAACUGAUAAACUGAUGCUAGUCUAUCCUCGCUUAAAACCACAUAGCUUUUAAAUCUCAUUAAUGGAGACUCUGAACCCCGGUCAGCCUUCAACCCCAUCUCUCCUAAAAACCCAUUUUCUCAAAUCCCCUCCUUUCGUUAACUCUACCAUCAAAUUAAAGCCCCAAUUUCACACCCUUUACAACAGGAGAACUCUUUCUUUAACCAUUACUUGCAAACUGAAAAGCUCUCAAGAAGUAAAGAACAAAGACAAGAAUGUAUCCAGGAAGAUUCUGUUAUCAGAUUCAACGCCACCAGUUUUAGAAGAAAGUGGUUCUGGCAAUGGGGUGGUUCCAGAGAAGGCAGCAGGAGGUGGAGGUGGUGGUGGACCAUUGGUUUUCGUGAAGAGGUUGCCUAGGAGGGUUUUGUCUGUUUUGUCUAAUUUGCCUUUGGCUAUUGGAGAAAUGUUUGCUAUUGCUGGGCUUAUGGCUCUAGGUACUGUCAUUGAUCAAGGGGAGGCUCCAGAUUUCUAUUUCCAAAAAUACCCUGAAGAGAAUCCUGUUUUAGGAUUCUUCACUUGGAGGUGGAUUCUCGCCCUUGGAUUUGAUCACAUGUUUUCAUCUCCUGUUUUCCUGGGAAUGUUGGCUCUCUUGGGAACAUCUCUUAUGGCCUGCACUUACACAACACAGAUCCCCCUGGUUAAGGUUGCAAGAAGGUGGAAUUUUUUGCACUCAGCUGAGGCAAUCCGUAAGCAGGAAUUUUCAGACAAUUUGCCCAGGGCGUCCAUUCAAGAUUUGGGUGUUAUUCUGAUGGGAGCUGGAUACGAGGUGUUCUUGAAAGGACCAUCUCUAUAUGCCUUCAAGGGUUUGGCAAGCCGGUUCGCCCCUAUUGGAGUACAUUUAGCAAUGCUGCUGAUAAUGGCAGGGGGAACUCUUAGUGCUGCUGGAAGCUUCAGAGGCUCAGUCACUGUUCCACAGGGGUUGAAUUUUGUUGUAGGAGAUGUGUUAGGUCCAACUGGGUUUCUUUCUACUCCCACUGAAGCUUUCAAUACGGAGGUUCAUGUCAACAGAUUCUACAUGGACUACUAUGAUAGUGGAGAGGUGUCACAAUUUCACACUGAUCUUUCGCUAUUAGAUUUUGAUGGGAAGGAGGUGUUGAGGAAAACAAUCAGCGUAAACAAUCCUUUGCGCUAUGGUGGGAUUACUAUAUACCAAACAGACUGGAGCUUUUCUGCCUUACAGAUAAGUAAAAAUGAUGAAGGACCUUUCAAUUUGGCUAUGGCACCUUUGAAGGUCAAUGGUGACAAGAAACUUUUUGGAACUUUUCUACCAGUUGGGGACCUUAAUUCUCCUAACGUCAAGGGAAUAUCAAUGCUUGCACGUGAUCUACAAUCCAUUGUCCUAUAUGAUCAAGAAGGGAAGUUUGUGGGAGUCCGACGACCUAACUCUAAGCUUCCAAUUGACAUAGAUGGAACAAGAAUUGUUAUUGAAGAUGCAAUUGGAAGUACUGGUCUUCAAUUAAAGACUGAUCCAGGGGUACCAGUUGUUUAUGCUGGAUUUGGUGCCCUAAUGCUCACAACUUGCAUCAGUUACUUGUCUCACUCACAGGUCGAAUUUCUAAUUAUAUUGAGCUUGGAUUACUAUGUACAUUCUCUAAGUAAUAGUGCAGCUGAUAUUUGUUGAAGCUUUAGAUUGUGUCAUUGGGUUUGUUUUUUUCAUGGAAAAAGGUUUUUUGUGAAGAAAAGAAACAGAAGCAUAUUUGAGAUGGUGAAAACCUUAUUGUUUCAUUAAUUAAAGCUUGAAUUUAUACAAGAAAACCUAACAGAAAUAGCAUAAAAUCUGCUGCACUUUCAGCAGUAAAUCCUAUUCUAAAGCAAAGCAUUAUUCCUUAAAAAUAGCAACAAGAAGACAACAUAAAUGGUCACAUUUGGAUUAUGUUUUGACUGUUUCAACAACCACAUAAGCAUCUUCAAUAGCUUUGCAGUUAGCCAGCUGCUAAGUUAAUAAUUUCAAUAAUCCUCCUUAGCUUAGGAGCUGCAAACUCUAAUUGUCAUCAAAAUAGCUCCUCCUCCUCCUGAUGUUGAUCCACAAUAACUUUGGCUUCUCUUGGUUGUUGCUGUGCAUUGCAUCUGAUCUCCAUGUGUCCUAGCUGGUCACAUUUUUUACAUUGUACAUCUAGUCUCCACCAACAUCUUUCUUGUGGAUGAUUGUCCGUUCAACAAUAAAGAUGCAA
rnacentral:misc_RNA from 1 species